GGAAGGAUCAUUAACACGUAUCGAACGUUUAAACCCCUGUGCAUGUUGAACUUCUAAUGGCUGAGAUUUGGUAACGCCUUUGCCAAGUCUCAGUAACGGCAGACUUCCUAGGUUCUGUAAAACUGAUUCUUCGGAGUUGGUCCUGGGAUUUCUGGUUCCCCCUGAGUAGCAGUUUGUCGAGGAUCGUGGUUUCAAAGAGCCCCACUGAAAAUCGCACUGGCACAGAACGCCUCUAUGUGUGGACAGUGCGGUCAACACAAGUUUGUCUUCUUGGAACUUGAAAAGAGCCUGUUCUGACACCAGGUGAUUCGAGCCAAGGAGACGGCGUGUUGUUAUGGGUGAGGGACACGGUCAGCGCUUCCUGUCGAAAGGUGUGGGCAGUGAUGCUCGAACUGAUUUUGGACCCUUCGGUUCUCGAUGAGUGCAGCUUUCAAGGCUUGCCUUGAGAGUUCGCAAACUUGUCUGGGAGAACCAAAAGCGUUGAGAAUCGGGCUGAGCUAGUCCAAAUUCAACCCCUGGAGCGGUCGCGGAGGCACCGUUUCCAUGGAGGUACGCGGUCGCGGCGGCACCGUUAACUAAACCGAACUAACUUGACAAAACUCGUCCGAAAGGACUCGAAACCCGAACAACUGUUAACAAUGGAUAUCUUGGUUCUCGCAACGAUGAAGAACGCAGCGAAAUGCGAUACGUAAUGCGAAUUGCAGAAUUCAGUGAAUCAUCGAAUCUUUGAACGCAAAUGGCGCCCUUGGGUUACCCCUAAGGGCACGCCUCGCUGACUAUCGGUUUAACAAUCGUAUCCUACUCCUUGGGGUGGUGAUAAUCGUUGAGUGUUAGGCAAACCCCUGAGGUGUGUCUAUCGCUUCAAAAUCAGUCAUUCCACUCAUUGAAUGGCUCUUGCAAGUUGAAUUCAGUUCGCUGAAUGAAGAUUUACAAGAGUCAUCCGACGGGAACUGGAGAGAGCUGGAAAACGCGAGAUUGGUGACUUGGCUGAGAAUCCGAUUCGUGAGCCUCGUUGGUGAAAUACCGACUGGGUGGUGCGACUCUGGGUCUUGGGCUUGUCAAAAACCGAUGUUGUGUCGUCUGGUUUUUGCUGGUUUCAUGUUGGCCUUGAGUUCAAGGUUUGCUGGAAAACACAAAGAGGGCAACGUUGAGGAACGAAGACAGUAGCCUUUUUCUGCUUCGCGGCGGAGAGAGGUUCGUUGGAGUUUAUCGACAGCUUUUCUUUCCUCUAAAUUAGAUGUCAGCUGAGGUGGGAAAACCCCCUGAAUUUAAGCAUAUUAUUAAGGGGAGGAAAAGAAACUAACAAGGAUUCCCCUAGUAACGGCGAGUGAAGCGGGAAGAGCUCAAGCCUGAAAUCCGUGGGUGUAACAACUCAUGGAGUUGUGGCCUAUAGACGUUCUCUCAGUGCUGUACCGGUUAUAAAUCCUUUGAAACAGGGUAUCAUAGAGGGUGAGAAUCCCGUCUUUGAGCCGGAUACAAGUGCGUACGAGGAGCGUUCUGAGAGUCGCGUUGCUUGGGAGUGCAACGCAAAUUGGGUGGUAAAGUUCAUCUAAAGCUAAAUACUGGCGAGAGACCGAUAGCGAACAAGUACCGUGAGGGAAAGAUGAAAAGAACUUUGAAAAGAGAGUUAAAUAGUACUUGAAAUUGUUAACAGGUAAGGGCAGGAAACCAGUAAAUUCCCAGAUUCAUUCGCGGUCGCCUCACGGUUGUCGCUACUUGGGUUUGGGAGAGUCAUCGUCACUUAGAAUCUUUGGAGAAAGCGUAUCGAUUGGUGCCUUCCUUCGGGUUGGUUUAGUCUUUACGUGCUACAUUGGCUCUGAGUGAGGAAGAGAACCCGCACGCUUCGGCGUACGAUGCUCCUAUGUCUGGGCGCCCAAGCGCGUGAGAGAGCAACGCUCUGUCUGUGCAAAAGGUGUCUAUUACACUGGAUGCGUCAGUUGCUGGGUUCGCGACGAUGACGAAAUGGUUUUCUUCCACCCGUCUUGAAACACGGACCAAGGAGUCUAACAUAUAUGCGAGUAUUUGGGUGACAAACCCUGAUGCGCAAUGAAAGUAAAGUGGGUUUCGGCCCAUGAGGUGGGAAUCUGACCUUCGGGGAAGAGGCACCAUCGACCGAUCGUUCGCUUGCGAAAGAUUUGAGUAAUAGCAUGUAUGUUGGGACCCGAAAGAUGGUGAUCUAUGCCUGAACAGGGUGAAGCCAGGGGAAACUCUGGUGGAAGCUCGUAGCGAUACUGACGUGCAAAUCGUUCGUCUGAUUUGGGUAUAGGGGGCGAAAGACUAAUCGAACCAUCUAGUAGCUGGUUCCCUC
rnacentral:misc_RNA from 1 species